GAUGAACGCUGGCUACAGGCUUAACACAUGCAAGUCGAGGGGAAACGCCGGGGAAGCUUGCUUCUCCGGGCGUCGACCGGCGCACGGGUGAGUAACGCGUAUCCAACCUGCCUCUGACUGAGGGAUAACCCGUCGCAAGUCGGCCUAAUACCUCAUGGCAUCGUCUGCGGGCAUCCAACGACGAUUAAAGAUUUCAUCGGUCAGGGAUGGGGAUGCGUCUGAUUAGCCUGUUGGCGGGGUAACGGCCAACCAAGGCUACGAUCAGUAGGGGUUCUGAGGGGAAGGUCCCCCACAUUGGAACUGAGGCACAGACCAAUCUGCUACGGGGGGCAGGAGUGAGGAAUAUAAGGCGAUGGGCGGGGGCCGGAACCAGCCGAGUAGCGGGCAGGAUGACGGGGCUAGGAGUUCUCAGCUACUAUUAAGCGAGGAUAAAGUGAGGAACGUGUCCUUCAUUGAAGGUACCGAAUGAAUAAGGACCGGCUAAUUCCGUG
rnacentral:rRNA from 1 species